UGUCAGAAGUGGGAUUCGAACCAACGGCCCAAGAGUGGACUGCCACCUGAACGCAGCGCCUUAGACCGCUCAGCCAUCCUGAC
rnacentral:tRNA from 13 species